GCAUAUCAAUAAGCGGAGGAAAAGAAACUAACAAGGAUUCCCCUAGUAACUGCGAGUGAAGCGGGAAGAGCUCAAAUUUAAAAUCUGGCGGUCCUUGCGGCCGUCCGAGUUGUAAUCUGGAGAAGUGCUUUCCGCGCUGGACCGUGUACAAGUCUCUUGGAACAGAGCGUCGUAGAGGGUGAGAAUCCCGUCUUUGACACGGACUACCAGUGCUUUGUGAUGCGCUCUCGACGAGUCGAGUUGUUUGGGAAUGCAGCUCAAAACGGGUGGUAAAUUCCAUCUAAAGCUAAAUAUUGGCGAGAGACCGAUAGCGAACAAGUACCGUGAGGGAAAGAUGAAAAGAACUUUGGAAAGAGAGUUAAACAGUACGUGAAAUUGCUGAAAGGGAAACGCUUGAAGUCAGUCGCGUCGGCCGGGACUCAGCCUUGCUUCUGCCUGGUUUACUUUCCGGUCGACGGGUCAGCAUCAGUUUUGGUCGUCGGAAAAUGGCAGGGGGAACGUGGCAUCUUCGGAUGUGUUAUAGCCCUCGGUCGCAUACGAUGGUUGGGACUGAGGAUCUCAGCACACCUCUAUGGUCGGGGUUCGCCCACGUUUGUGCUUAGGAUGCUGGCAUAAUGGCUUUAAACGACCCGUCUUGAAACACGGACCAAGGAGUCUAACAUGCGUGCGAGUGUUUGGGUGGAAAACCCGAGCGCGUAAUGAAAGUGAAAGUUGAGACCUCUGUCGCGGAGGGCAUCGACGCCCGGACCAGAACUUCUGUGACGGAUCUGCGGUAGAGCAUGUAUGUUGGGACCCGAAAGAUGGUGAACUAUGCCUGAAUAGGGUGAAGCCAGAGGAAACUCUGGUGGAGGCUCGUAGCGAUUCUGACGUGCAAAUCGAUCGUCAAAUUUGGGUAUAGGGGCGAAAGACUAAUCGAACCAUCUAGUAGCUGGUUCCUGCCGA
rnacentral:rRNA from 1 species